CUCGGCGAAGUCCUCCACGAAGUCCAUCACCUCGUUCACGUCCUGGCCAUAGGCCCGGGCGACGAACUUGAGGUUCUCGCGUCCCGACAUGAGCGGGUGGAAUCCGCCCGCGAAGCCGAGCGGCCAUGAGACCCUGACGGUGCGUCUGACCCGGCCCGCGCUCGGCACCUCCGUGCCCGCGAUGAGCCGCAUCAGGGUCGACUUGCCCGCGCCGUUGAUGCCCAGGAUGCCGUAACUGGUUCCCGGCUCGAACUGGG
rnacentral:misc_RNA from 1 species